AGGAUUUACACAAUCAUACUUAAACUAGGAAUGUUUACAACACUCCCCCUUGAGUGUGUAAAUACUCAAGCUAGAUUCAGCAUCAUGCAGAAGUUGAGGAAGUCGACUUGUUGGCACUGAUUCCAAGGAACAACGCUUAUUCUCAAUAAGGUAGGAACUUGCAUAAGUAGUAAGUCUCACUAAAAAACCCUAAGGCUAUGGCAAAAACCCGAGUAGGGACAAAA
rnacentral:lncRNA from 1 species